rnacentral:lncRNA from 1 species
UCUCAACAUUUUUAGCAGCCUUCUCCUAAAUGUUUCCUAAUGUCACGUACAAAAACAUAGGGAAUUUGCAUGGAAAAUCUUCCACUAGGGAAAAGGAAAACACCUUAAUUUGAAACUGAGCUAACAUGUUGAUUUGGGGGCUUUACGAGCAAGGGUAUGAACAAAGCGGGGCAGUUGGAGAAGCGGAAGAAGAGAAAAAGAGGUGAAGCCAUCAGUGUCUACAGCUUCAGCUAUUGCCCGUGUGCAGAUGGUGCUUAAUCUCUCUUGUGCCUUCCAGACCUGCAUUCCAGCCACCUACCAAACCCCUUUCUGUGGAUGCCAAGAAAAGUCUUCAGACCGUGGACAAUGUGCUCUUUGCCCCUAUUAUGGAGAAAGGUGUUCCCUAGGAUGAUGACACAAGGAUUUAAUGAGUAGAAGACAACAACUUAAAACCUCUCAUUUGAGCAUGAAUUGUCUAGGUUAAAGGUAGGCAUUGAGAUCCCAUUAGCUACUGGCACACUUGGGAAAAGAAAUGUACACAUGCACAGACACACUUUAAAGCAAGACUUCAUAAAAAUACAGCGAUGCCUGUUUCUACUCAGACCCAAAAAUGGAAUUAAAGCCAAAACUUACAACCCCUCUACUAAUUAGAGAAGUAAAAAUGUCUUCACCCCAAGUGUCCCAGCACAACGUGAAACCGAAACAAGCUGCCUUUCUUUGGAUUCCACUUAUUUAUUUAUGUUUAAAAGAAUAUUUGAAGAAAAGGACGCCUAGUAAAAGAACAGUUGGAGAAAACAUGGGACACCAUACAUUGGAAGAGAAAUGUAGAUGAAGUACACAGCUACAACAGGGAUAUUUUUUUUCUUGUUGAAACACAUGAUAAUGGGCUAAUAAAAAUCUGGUUACCUUUACAUUUCUUCUCCUCCGUUUGGAAGGUCUGGGCACUUGAGACACUCUGGUCGUUCACAUCAUCAUGGUCCAGAUGGAAUAUUGAGCUAGUCCAAGUGGUCUGGAUGAGAUGUGGCGACGACUGUUCAUUUUUCAACGUGCUGCGCCUCUCUGAAUGGCUCUUCCUAUGUAGGCAGGCUUCAGACAUUCCUACUAGCUUCCAGUCGUGUUCUCGGUCUGGACAGUGCUUCGGUUUGUCCCAGGCUGUAAGGCCAUUUUCUAAAGGGUUGAAAAACACGAGAUGACGAGCUGUUGGCAUUGUCAAGAUUUUGCUGAGAUGCAGAGUUUUGGAAGGCAAGUUGUUUCUCAAUUCUUUUGGGCUGACAGUAUUCACAUGCCACUUGACGGGAGUGAUAAGAUGCAGAAUUUGUCAGCCUUGGGCAUUUAGCCACUGCAGUUGGGUUGCCUGUCGGAGUAAUCAACACAUUCCCCCUUAUUUUAAAUGCCUAGAAAGACAUUAGUUCCUGCAUGGCAAGGCUGUACUUUCGCCAGUCCCACUUCCACAGCAAUGGCCCAGGAGCAAGUUUACACACCAAUUUACGUUACUGCUUAGAUGACCAUUUGAGGUCUUGAGGGUCAGGGCUGGCCGUGAACACUUUUCAGAUCCUUAGGACAUAAAACACCCAGGAUUCAGCCUUGUUUGACUUGGGUUUUAUCACAAGCUGACCUGAGGGACACCCUGUUACUUAAGUGGGACGUGCUCACGUGGCCACACCGAGAGUGGCAACUCUGUUUUUAC